rnacentral:pre_miRNA from 1 species
AUCACCUGGAGAUAAUGUUAAAAUGCAGAUUCUGAUUCAGUGACUCUGGGGUUCAACGGAAGAUUCUGCAUUUCUAGCAAGAUCCCAAGUGAUGCUGA